GAGAAUUUUCACGCGGAACGAGUUUGCGAAAUGUAAAGGGUUGACGAUUUAUAAUCGUAUUACUUUAUAUCGAUCGAGAGUGGAAUACUAUAUUUAAAAUAGACGUAUAUAGUGCCUUUUCUCUGGGACUUAUCUGGGAUUUCGCUCUGAUUAUUUGAAAUUUGAACGUGUUAGGAGGCACAUUGGCAUAAGAAUUUCUAAAUAACGAUAAGUUAAGUUGAUAGAGUAGAUAAGACGAGAGUUGUUUUUUCUUCUUCUUCUUCUCGUUCCUUUACGUUUCUCUUCUUCUCCUUUUCUUUUCUUUUCUUUUCCUUUUAUUUCCUCUUUCAUUAUUAUUAUUAUUAUUAUUAUUAUUAUUAUUAUUAUUAUUAUUAAUAUUAAUAUUAAUAUUAUUAUUAUUAUUAUUAUUUCUUUUCGUUGCGAGGAGUGAAUGUUUGAUGCCACUGCCUCUAAUAGCAGCUGUUUUUAAACUACUUUUAUACUGUUGAUGUGACGCGCAGCUAAUCAGAGUCAGUAUAUUACUGCCAUAAUCAUGAAACGAAAUGUAUAACCAAUAUACCUUUAUAAAUAAAACACGACUGAAAAAGUAAAAUGCCGCAUUUUACUUUCAAUUUGUUGUGUCUCUUGUGUCUCUCAAUGUCGCAUCUACAUUUCGAUCAUUUAUCAUUAUUCAGUUAUGAUACUCCAAGAUAUUUUUAUGCUAUAAAUAUUUUUAUGACGAAUAAAAUACUCGUCAAUCAAGAAACGAGGCAUCGAUCGAAACAUAUCGACGAUCAAUUUAUCUUUAUAUGGAAAAAUACACGCGUUACACAAAUAUAGGCAGGUACACAUAUCUCUUCCAUGAGAUCUCGUCACGUUUUAACGUAACGUUAAAGAAAGGAAAAAAAAAAAAGAGAAAAAGUAACGACGAAAAGUAAGACGGAUGCAGGGCACACGAAGUGGCUCGACAAAUAUGUAGCCGGUCCAUGGCUGCGUCCAGCACGAGCUGCACCCGUUUCCCCAUAAAUUAAACCCGUGAUCGACUUUCUUAAACGACAUCGACGUGACGCGGUAUGCGUUUCUUUCGGCCCACAGCUAAGGUUAUCGAGUUCCUGCUUCGAUACGGCCGGUUUACCUUGCCGCACCCGUAAACGUUGGACAUCCAGCCCAACGCUGCUUGCGUUUCUACCUUUACAAUACCACCUAGUAUUAUUCGCAAGCCGAGAUAAUGGAGAUAAUCGCCCCUUUGUCCAAUACUUCUGCUUCCGUCUCGGCCUGAACGGAGCUAACUGCAACUUUCAUUAGACGAGUGACAAUCGAGAAAAAUCGGGACUGAGGAUCGUAUGAAUAAAAUUGGAGACGAGGAAACUGAUUGUUAACAUCCUCGACUUUUAUCUCUUCUCUUGUUGCAAUUUUAAAAAUAUGGUGAAAUAAAAAUGUACACGGACAAUUGUUAAUAUUAUAAUAUUUUGGCGGUGGCAUAAAUAAUAUUCAAUUAUUGAAUUUCAAAUUUUAUAAUUUGAUUAUAAUUAAAUAAUAAUUGUCGCGUGUUUUAUUUUAUUACGAUGUUUUUUAAUUACGGUACUAGCGAUUGUGGGUUAAAUACAUGGGUAUUAGGGAUAAAAGGGAUGAGAUCUAUCACAUUAUCGACAUAAAAUUCGUUUCGACAGAAAAAUAAUAUAGAUACAUUUAUAGUAUUAUUGCGGUAAAUACAUAAACAAGUGAAACGAUAAAAAUUCUUGUAACGUAUCGUGUAACUUGUUUAAGAAGGAGAUGAUUUACAUGUUCGAGGCAGUAUUUGCAGUAGGGCAUGAAUCACGCCUAAACGAUCACGUAUCCUCCCUCACGGAUCGUGGGAUCCUCCUUAGCUUGCUUGCAAUAGCAUUGAAGAACGCCAAAGGCUAAAUGAAAGUAACGUGACCCCGAAGUGCGCGGGAUAGUGUUCGCAUUUGUAAAGGAAAUUGCUAUGCAAAACGCAGGGCGUCGACGCCAACAGAACCGAUUAGAAGAAAAAAAAAAAGGAUUGAAUGGCGUUUUCUUAAAUAAUUUAAUAGAUAAUUCAUUCGUGGAUAUCGAUUGGGUCAAAAUUUCAGGGAAUGUUAGAAAUUUAUUUUAAUAGGAAAUUUUGUUUUAUUAUGGAAUUGCACAAAAUUUAAUUAUUAUUUUUUGAUAAAAUUAUUGAUAAAAAAAUGAAAGAGUUUCUCCGUUUCAUAGUAUUGUUCGCGAAUACUAAGAGGAGAAUGAAAGUGUAAGGUUUUGCAUUGGAAAUCUGGUCUAUAAUUAAAAGAUCGGGUGGAAUAUUUUCGAAUUAUUUGAGGGAAAUAAAAAUCGACAGAAGUUUAU